rnacentral:rRNA from 1 species
GACGAACGCUGGCGGCGUGCUUAACACAUGCAAGUCGAACGGUGAAGCGCCUUCCUUUUUGGUGGGUGUGGAUGAGUGGCGAACGGGUGAGUAACACGUGAGUAACCUGCCCCCUUCUUCUGGAUAACCGCAUGAAAGUGUGGCUAAUACGGGAUAUUCUGGUUCUGUCGCAUGAUGGGUCUGGGAAAGAUAUUGUUUCGGUGGGGGAUGGUCUCGCGGCCUAUCAGCUUGUUGGUGGGGUGAUGGCCUACCAAGGCGGUGACGGGUAGCCGGCCUGAGAGGGUGGACGGUCACACUGGGACUGAGACACGGCCCAGACUGCUACGGGAGGCAGCAGUGGGGGAUAUUGAACAAUGGGCGAAAGCCUGAUGCAGCGGCGACGCGUGAGGGAUGGAGGCCUUCGGGUUGUGAACCUCUUUCGCCAGUGAAGCAGGCCUGCCUCGUAUGUGGGUGGGUUGACGGUAGCUGGAUAAGAAGCGCCGGCUAACUACGUG